GUUGGGAAUCUUGGACAAUGGGGGAAACCCUGAUCCAGCCAUGCCGCGUGAGUGAUGAAGGCCUUCGGGUUGUAAAACUCUUUCGACGGGGACGAUAAUGACGGUACCCGUAGAAGAAGCUCCGGCUAACUUCGUGCCAGCAGCCGCGGUAAUACGAAGGGGGCUAGCGUUGUUCGGAAUUACUGGGCGUAAAGCGCGCGCAGGCGGCUAUCCAAGUCAGUGGUGAAAGCCCGGAGCUCAACUCCGGAACUGCCAUUGAAACUGUUUAGCUUGAGGACGAGAGAGGUGAGUGGAAUUCCCAGUGUAGAGGUGAAAUUCGUAGAUAUUGGGAAGAACACCGGUGGCGAAGGCGGCUCACUGGCUCGUAUCUGACGCUCAGGCGCGAUAGCGUGGGGAUCAAACAGGAUUAGAAACCCCUGUAGUCC
rnacentral:rRNA from 1 species